rnacentral:lncRNA from 1 species
GAAGUCUGUGUCUGAGCCCGGCUGCUCGUCUUCCCCCAGUGCUGUGGGGAGGGCACAGCUUUGGGACAAAUGACUCCAAUCAGAGGUAAGGAGCCAAUGACAUAACGCCAUGAAGUUUUAUUAGCAGGGCCCAGCACACUGUAAGCCCUUGGUAAGUGAUUCUAUUAAUAUCACAAAAAUAUGUAGUUUUUACUGUCUCAUCGAUGUUCUUCCUCUUGUGGCAUUUUCAGUUUCCCUUCCCCUUGCCUAUCCUCUGAUUGAUCCUUAGCAAGGAUCAAAGGACAAAAGCAAACGUUCCAAUGUUGAAGAAAUUUCCACUGAUCCAGAGAAAAGCAAAGGUUUGAUUACAGGUAGUACCCGGGUUACAGAUGUCCUGAUUUGAGGUGUUCCAUAGGUACAUAGAGAAGGAACUGACACAAACACAAGAAUGUGAAGAAUCAGAAGAUCCAAAGACAAUAAACUAUCUGAAAAAAAGAAUUAGCUGAAGCUCUUCCUCUCAUUGAAGCAGGAUCUGCUGAACCUGAGGAGCCAGAUUCUAACUUCGAGGGUUUUCAGAGGCUUACCUUGCAGUUAGCGAAAACAUCAGCUGCUACAAGCCCAUUUUUGAUUAAAGAAAGCAAAAGCUGCGCAGACAGCCCUAGCUGCCUUUGGGGUGCAGUGGUGAGCUCCCCUCCCCAGCAACAGACCCCAACCCUGAUUCUCCAGCACCAUCUUCGUCAUGCUCUUCUGAUUAAUGCCACCUGCCUUCCUUUAGCCUCAGAAAUGCCCCUUCCAUGA